AACCAUAGAAACCUGCGGAGUACCUGCGGAAGGAUCAUUAUAAGAUUCUAACGGUUCUAGCCCGUAAAAAGGCUAUGAGCUAUUUAACCCUUUGUGAAUCAAAAACCUUUUCGCUUCGGUAGCAGGCUAGACUUUGGUGAGAAUCAAUUUCUAUGCCGUCAGCCUACCGGCAGCACCAAAUUUAUAAAAACUUGACCUACUGAAUAUGUCUGAAUAAUAAAAAAUUUUGAAUGAAAUCAA
rnacentral:misc_RNA from 1 species